UCUUAUAAAUGAGCAAAGAAGGUGGUUUCUUGAGAUGGAAUCUAACACUGGUGAAGAUGCUAUGAA
rnacentral:pre_miRNA from 1 species